AUUGAACGCUGGCGGCAUGCUUUACACAUGCAAGUCGAACGGUAACAGGCCGCAAGGUGCUGACGAGUGGCUAACGGGUGAGUAAUUCAUCGGAACGUGCCCAGUCGUUGGGGAUAACUACUCGAAAGAGUAGCUAAUACCGCAUACGAUCUAUGGAUGAACUCGGGGGACCGUAAUGCCUCGCGCGAUUGGAGCGGGCGAUGUCAGAUUAGGUAGUUGGUGGGGGAAAGGCUCACCCAGCCAACGAUCUGUACCUGGUGUGAGAGGACGACCAUCCACACUGGGACGGAGACACGGACCAGACUCCUGCGGGAGGCAGCAGUGGGGAAUGUUGGACAAUGGGCGCAAGCCUGAUCCAGCAAUGCCGCGUGCAGGAAGAAGGCGUUCGGGUUGUAAACUGCUUUUGUACGGAGCGAAACGGCUCUGGUUAAUACCCGGCGCUAAUGACGGUACCGUAAGAAUAAGCACCGGCUAACUACGUG
rnacentral:rRNA from 1 species